rnacentral:rRNA from 1 species
CCAGACUCCUACGGGAGGCAGCAGUGGGGAAUAUUGCACAAUGGGGGAAACCCUGAUGCAGCGACGCCGCGUGAGUGAAGAAGUAUUUCGGUAUGUAAAGCUCUAUCAGCAGGGAAGAAAAUGACGGUACCUGAUUAAGAAGCCCCGGCUAACUACGUGCCAGCAGCCGCGGUAAUACGUAGGGGGCAAGCGUUAUCCGGAUUUACUGGGUGUAAAGGGAGCGUAGACGGCAGCGCAAGUCAGAAGUGAAAGCCCGGGGCUCAACCGCGGGACUGCUUUUGAAACUGUUAAGCUUGAGUGCAGGAGAGGUAAGCGGAAUUCCUAGCGUAGCGGUGAAAUGCGUAGAUAUUAGGAGGAACACCAGUGGCGAAGGCGGCUUACUGGACCGUAACUGACACUGAGGCUCGAAAGCGUGGGGAGCAAACAGGAUUAGAUACCCCUGUAU